rnacentral:tRNA from 1 species
UCCCCGGUAGCUCAAUCGGCAGNNGGGUGGCUGUUAACCACUAGGUUCGCGGUUCAAGUCCGUGCCGGGGAGCCA